rnacentral:rRNA from 1 species
AGAGUUUGAUCCUGGCUCAGAACGAACGCUGGCGGCAGGCUUAACACAUGCAAGUUGAACGGGAUUUGUGUGGUGCUUGCACCAUAUAAUGAGAGUAGCGCACUGGUGAGUAACACGUGGGAACGUACCUUUUGGUGGGGGACAACAUCUGGAAACGGAUGCUAAUACCGCAUAAGACCUGAGGGUGAAAGAUUUAUCGCCGAAAGAACGGCCCGCGGAAGAUUAGGCAGUUGGUGGGGUAAAGGCCUACCAAACCUACGAUCUAUAGCUGGUCUGAGAGGACGAUCAGCCACACUGGAACUGAGACACGGUCCAGACUCCUACGGGAGGCAGCAGUGAGGAAUAUUGGGCAAUGGAGGCAACUCUGACCCAGCCAUGCCGCGUGAGUGAAGAAGGUUUUCGGAUUGUAAAGCUCUUUCGGAUGUGACGAUGAUGACGGUAGCAUCUAAAGAAGCCCCGGCUAACUUCGUGCCAGCAGCCGCGGUAAUACGAAGGGGGCGAGCGUUGUUCGGAAUUACUGGGCGUAAAGGGUGUGUAGGCGGUUAUGUAAGAUAGCGGUGAAAUCCCGGGGCUUAACCUCGGAAUAGCCGUUAUAACUAUGUAGCUAGAGUUAUGGAGAGGAUAGCGGAAUACCCAGUGUAGAGGUGAAAUUCGUAGAUAUUGGGUAGAACACCGGUGGCGAAGGCGGCUAUCUGGCCAUAUACUGACGCUGAGGCACGAAAGCAUGGGGAUCAAACAGGAUUAGAUACCCUGGUAGUCCAUGCUGUAAACGAUGAAUGCUGGUUGUCGGCUUUAGGGUCGGUGACGAAGUUAACGCGAUAAGCAUUCCGCCUGGGGAGUACGGUCGCAAGAUUAAAACUCAAAGGAAUUGACGGGGACCCGCACAAGCGGUGGAGCAUGUGGUUUAAUUCGAUGCAACGCGAAGAACCUUACCUGGUCUUGACAUCCACAGAACUUUCCAGAGAUGGAUUGGUGCCUUCGGGAACUGUGAGACAGGUGCUGCAUGGCUGUCGUCAGCUCGUGUUGUGAAAUGUUGGGUUAAGUCCCGCAACGAGCGCAACCCUUAUCCUUUGUUGCCAGCGGUCCGGCCGGGAACUCAAAGGAGACUGCCAGUGAUAAACUGGAGGAAGGUGGGGAUGACGUCAAGUCAUCAUGGCCCUUACGACCAGGGCUACACACGUGCUACAAUGGCGCAUACAAAGAGAAGCGACCUCGCGAGAGCAAGCGGACCUCAUAAAGUGCGUCGUAGUCCGGAUUGGAGUCUGCAACUCGACUCCAUGAAGUCGGAAUCGCUAGUAAUCGUGGAUCAGAAUGCCACGGUGAAUACGUUCCCGGGCCUUGUACACACCGCCCGUCACACCAUGGGAGUGGGUUGCAAAAGAAGUAGGUAGCUUAACCUUCGGGAGGGCGCUUACCACUUUGUGAUUCAUGACUGGGGUGAAGUCGUAACAAGGUAACCGUAGGGGAACCUGCGGUUG